rnacentral:rRNA from 1 species
AGUCUGGUGCCAGCAGCCGCGGUAAUUCCAGCUCCAAAAGCAUAUAUUAAAGUUGUUGCGGUUAAAAAGCUCGUAGUUGGAUCCAUGACCUCGGAGGGCGGUCCCCCACUGGGUGCGUACUGCUGCUCCGAGUCCUAUCUGUCAGUUUGUCUGUGUUGCCUUUAAUCGGGUGGCACAGGUGACUGACGUGUUUACUUUGAAAAAAUUAGAGUGUUUAAAGCAGGCGUUGAAUGCCUGAAUAGUGGUGCAUGGAAUAAUGGAAUAGGAUCUCGGUUCUAUUUUGUUGGUUCAAGAGCAUGAGAAAAUGAUUAAGAGGGACAGACGGGGGCAUUUGUAUUGCUGCGUUAGAGGUGAAAUUCUUGGAUCGUAGCAAGACAAACUACUGCGAAGGCAUUUGCCAAGAAUGUUUUCAUUAAUCAAGAACGAAAGUUAGAGGUUCGAAGGCGAUCAGAUACCGCCCUAGUUCUAACCGUAAACCAUGUCGACUAGCUAUCUGUCAGCGUUAAUAAUGACCUGACAGGCAGCUUACCGGAAACGAAAGUUUCUCGAUUCCGGGGGUAGUAUGGUUGCAAAGCUGAAACUUAAAGGAAUUGACGGAAGGGCACCACCAGGAGUGGAGCCUGCGGCUUAAUUUGACCCAACACGGGAAAACUCACCCGGCCCGGACACCAUAAGGAUUGACAGAUUAAUAGCUCCUUCUCGAUUUGGUGAUUGGUGGUGCAUGGCCGUUCUUAGUUGGUGGAGCGAUUUGUCUGGUUAAUUCCGAUAACGAACGAGAUUCUAACUUACUAACUAGUUCCACGAUCCUUGUGGUCCUAAAUACUUCUUAGAGGGAAAACCGGCAUUUAGUCGAACGAGAUUGAGCAAUAACAGGUCUGUGAUGCCCUUAGAUGUCCGGGGCUGCACGCGUGCUACACUGAAGGAAUCAGCGUGUUUUUCCCUUGCCUGUAAUGGCUGGGUAACCGACUGAAUCUCCUUCGUGUUAGGGAUAGAUCAUUGAAACUAGUGAUCUUCAACUUGGAAUUCCUGGUACGUUUGAGUCAUAAGCUCAAGCAGAUUACGUCCCUGCCCUUUGUACACACCGCCCGUCGCUACUACCGACUGGCAAUAUCUUUGAGACACUUGGAGCGGCCGUGAGCUACCCUAACCGGUAACUCACGGCUGCGAAAAGGUU